ACACAUGCAAGUCGAGCGAGAAAGGGAGCUUCGGUUCCCAAGUAAAGCGGCGGACGGGUGAGUAACACGUGGGUAAUCUGCCCUCGGGUGGGGAAUAACUCAGGGAAACCUGGGCUAAUUCCGCAUGAUAUUCCCGAUACUCAAGUAUUGGAAAUCAAAGCUGGGGACCCUUCGGGGCCUGGCGCCUGAGGAGGAGCCCGCGGCCAAUUAGCUUGUUGGUGGGGUAAUGGCCCACCAAGGCUUCGAUUGGUAGCCGGCCUGAGAGGGCGGACGGUCACACUGGGACUGAGACACGGCCCAGACUCCUACGGGAGGCAGCAGUGGGGAAUUUUUGUCAAUGGGGGAAACCCUGAACAAGCAACGCCGCGUGGAGGACGAAGACCCUCGGGUUGUAAACUCCUGUCGGAGGGGACGAAAGUGCAGGUGGUUAAUACCCAUCAGUAUUGACGGUACCCUACGAGGAAGCCCCGGCUAACUCCGUGCCAGCAGCCGCGGUAAUACGGGGGGGGCAAGCGUUGUUCGGAAUUACUGGGCGUAAAGGGCGCGUAGGCGGACCAGACAGUCUCUCGUGAAAUCCCACGGCUCAACCGUGGAACUGCGGGAGAUACUACUGGUCUUGAGU
rnacentral:rRNA from 1 species